GUCAAGGGUUAUCUCCUACCCUAUUGAGUCAGUAAGAUGCAAAAUACCUGAAGAAUAUGGCACUUAUCCUGGAGUUCAUAUAAAGAAAUCCUGAACGAAGGUUGAAAAGGCUGAGAUGAAGGAAACGUCCCCAUUCCUCCAAAACUGCUGAAGUUCCUGUAUGAACAACUUCGAAAAACCAGCUGGCAUCUUGGGGAGGACGACCUCGCAUCCAGUAUGCUGCUGUGGGUGCCGCAGGAUUUCGAACUCAUUCGAUCACUUGUCUCUAUGCUUUUCGAACUGUGGCGACUAAUCGUGCCUUGCUGUGGGUCAAGCCGCUGGAUCUUUAGAUCUUCUUCGAUUUGCUUAAUCCAUCCUUUUUUUGGGUGCAGUGCGCUGGAUUCUACACUGGGUUGGACGUUUCCUCCAGAGGACUUGUGUGGUAUUCAAUUUGCAUCCAUUCUGCACGUGUCCAAACAUUUCACUCUAUUGACUAGAAGUCUAAAGCAAUUUUUAAAAGCAGAAGCCUUAUCUUCAUUGCAUUUUGUUUGUUUCUGUAUUGUAUCGUAUUCUAUUAGUAUUGCAUUUGAUAAUGUUUUGAAUCUUGACUUUCACAGUUUAUGAAGGUUUUUUUUUUUUUUCCAUUUUUUUAAAAUAAUUUUGUGAGCUAUUUGGUACAACACCAAUAUUGUGCAAGUACCUGCUCAUUUUCUUUUUUUUUUUUUUUUUUUAUUUCUCCCAUGUUUGUUUAAUGUCUUAACUUUUUCCACAAUACAAGCACUUUUUUAUGGUGCUUUAUGGUGCUUUGCACAUUGUUAAUUGUGUGUGUCUAUCAAUUUUUACCCAUUGAAUGCGUUUUAAGAAUGUUUACAUGAAAUUUUUACAAAAAUAAAACAUGUUUAAUAUGUAUAUAUUGUUCUUGAAUUAUUUGCUACCAAAAUAUAUGCUAUAAAAAUAGAAAUUUCUGUAUAAGGAUUAUCCGUGAAUAGUACAGAAAAUACGGAAUUUUCCAUUUUAGGUUUGACGGAAAUGUCCGUCAAUGGUACAGAAAAACUCAU